rnacentral:rRNA from 1 species
GACGAACGCUGGCGGCGUGCUUAACACAUGCAAGUCGAACGGAAAGGCCCUGCUUUUGCGGGGUGCUCGAGUGGCGAACGGGUGAGUAACCCGUGAGUAACCUGCCCUUGACUUUGGGAUAACUUCAGGAAACUGGGGCUAAUACCGGAUAGGAGCUCCUGCUGCAUGGUGGGGGUUGGAAAGUUUCGGCGGUUGGGGAUGGACUCGCGGCUUAUCAGCUUGUUGGUGGGGUAGUGGCUUACCAAGGCUUUGACGGGUAGCCGGCCUGAGAGGGUGACCGGCCACAUUGGGACUGAGAUACGGCCCAGACUCCUACGGGAGGCAGCAGUGGGGAAUAUUGCACAAUGGGCGGAAGCCUGAUGCAGCAACGCCGCGUGCGGGAUGACGGCUUUCGGGUUGUAAACCGCUUUCGCCUGUGACGAAGCGUGAGUGACGGUAAUGGGUAAAGAAGCACCGGCUAACUACGUG